AUUACCAAACAAAUUUUGAUCUUAAUCUCUUCUGGUUCAACGAUUGGAGAAGGUGUUCCUCAGAUCACUCACAGCCACAUAGAGUUGUCUGGCCUCUAUGAAAAAAUUCACGUGAAGACUGACGUAGAUCAGGGGCUCGAAGAUGCAAGUCUGCAAGCAACUUCGACAGCUGAUCUCUUCCUUCUUCUUCAAGUACCUUGGACACUCCAAAGCAGUAGAGGAUCUGGAGGAGGAAG
rnacentral:lncRNA from 1 species